rnacentral:rRNA from 1 species
UGGGGAAUUUUCCGCAAUGGGGGCAACCCUGACGGAGCAACGCCGCGUGCGGGAGGAAGGCCUGUGGGUUGUAAACCGCUUUUAUCAGGGAAGAAGCACUGACGGUACCUGAUGAAUCAGCAUCGGCUAACUCCGUGCCAGCAGCCGCGGUAAGACGGAGGAUGCAAGCGUUAUCCGGAAUUAUUGGGCGUAAAGCGUCCGCAGGCGGCUGAACAAGUCUGCUGUCAAAGCCCGCAGCUCAACUGCGGAUCGGCAGUGGAAACUGUUUAGCUAGAGUACGGUAGGGGUAGAGGGAAUUCCCAGUGUAGCGGUGAAAUGCGUAGAUAUUGGGAAGAACACCAGUGGCGAAGGCGCUCUACUGGGCCGUAACUGACGCUGAGGGACGAAAGCUAGGGGAGCGAAAGGGAUUAGAUACCCCCGUAGUCC